UACGGAGGGGGCUAGCGUUGUUCGGAAUUACUGGGCGUAAAGCGCGCGUAGGCGGACCUGCAAGUCGGGGGUGAAAGCCCGAGGCUCAACCUCGGAACUGCCUUCGAUACUGCGGGUCUCGAGUCCGGGAGAGGUGAGUGGAAUUCCUAGUGUAGAGGUGAAAUUCGUUGAUAUUAGGAAGAACACCAGUGGCGAAGGCGGCUCACUGGCCCGGUACUGACGCUGAGGCGCGAAAGCGUGGGGAGCAAACAGG
rnacentral:rRNA from 1 species